rnacentral:tRNA from 1 species
GCCCGGAUAGCUCAGUUGGCCAGAGCGCCGCUCUUGUAAAGCGGAUGUCGUGGGUUCGAAUCCCACUUCGGGCU